rfam:Megaselia scalaris, Durham, NC isolate 2 -- Noor lab, WGS project CAQQ02000000 data, contig: ctg0000314174
AAACCGGUUCUUUUCAGAACCACCAAUUUUUUU